AUUGAACGCUGGCGGCAUGCCUUACACAUGCAAGUCGAACGGAUCAGAGGAGCUUGCUCUUCUGGUUAGUGGCGAACGGGUGAGUAAUGCAUCGGAACGUACCCAGUAGUGGGGGAUAACGUAGCGAAAGUUACGCUAAUACCGCAUACGACCUGAGGGUGAAAGCAGGGGAUCGCAAGACCUUGCGCUAUUGGAGCGGCCGAUGUCGGAUUAGCUAGUUGGUAGGGUAAAAGCCUAUCAAGGCGACGAUCCGUAGCUGGUCUGAGAGGACGACCAGCCACACUGGGACUGAGACACGGCCCAGACUCCUACGGGAGGCAGCAGUGGGGAAUUUUGGACAAUGGGGGAAACCCUGAUUCAGCCAUGCCGCGUGAGUGAAGAAGGCCUUCGGGUUGUAAAGCUCUUUCAGACGGAAAGAAAUCUUCCGGGCUAAUACCUCGGGAGGAUGACGGUACCGUAAGAAGAAGCACCGGCUAACUACGUGCCAGCAGCCGCAGUAA
rnacentral:rRNA from 1 species